GACGAACGCUGGCGGCGUGCUUAACACAUGCAAGUCGAACGGAAAGGCCCUGCUUUUGUGGGGUGCUCGAGUGGCGAACGGGUGAGUAACACGUGAGUAACCUGCCCUUGACUUUGGGAUAACUUCAGGAAACUGGGGCUAAUACCGGAUAGGAGCUCCUGCUGCAUGGUGGGGGUUGGAAAGUUUCGGCGGUUGGGGAUGGACUCGCGGCUUAUCAGCUUGUUGGUGGGGUAGUGGCUUACCAAGGCUUUGACGGGUAGCCGGCCUGAGAGGGUGACGGGCACAAUGGGGCCUGGGAUGGGGCCAAGCCCCCACGGGGAGGCAGCAGGGGGAAUUAUUGACAACGGGGCGGAACCUUAAGGCCGCAACCCCGCGGGCGGGAGGGGGGCUUUGGGUUUGUAACCCGCUUCCCCCGGUGACAAAGGGGGAGGGAGGGAAGGGGAUAAAGAACCCCCCACUAAGUACGUC
rnacentral:rRNA from 1 species